rnacentral:rRNA from 1 species
AUGAACAUCGUCCUUCUCUCCCGUUGGCUUUGGCGUAUCGCGCAGGGUCAGGGUGGCCUCUGGCUGGACAUUAUCCGGAAUAAAUACCUGCAUGGUCAACCCCUUGCCUUCUGCCAGAAAUCAGGCGGCUCUCAGUUUUGGCAGUCUCUCAUCCAACUCCUAUCGGUGCUCCGCAUUGGUACCUCUAUCUCGGUGGGGUCCGGCCUCUCGACGCUUUUCUGGUUCGACCGUUGGGCCGGAGACUCGCCCUUCGCGGCCCGCUUCCCCACCCUCUUCUCUAUCUCUGUCGACCCUAUGAUUUCUGUUGAUAGGGCCCUUAGUGACUUAGGGCGCCUUGCUUUCCGCCGUCCUUUUGGGCCGGCGGAAUCCGCCGCCUGGCGUGAGUUACUUGACUGCGUUGCUCUUCACGAGCCGUUGGUGGAUGGCGACCAGGACCUUAUGCGCUGGCGGCUGGAGCCGUCUGGCCAGUUCUCCACCAAAUCGCUUUACUUGGCCAUUGCUCCCUCAUCCGCCCCCCUCCCCCUGUCGAUGGUGUGGUCCGUCCGCGUCCCACUGAAGAUCCGCAUCUUCAUGUGGCAGUGGAUCCGUGGA